ensembl:lncRNA
CCACACACAACAUGAAGAGGAAAACAGAAAGAGAAGCUGCUUCUUUGUUGGACCUGUUAUGGGAUUUUGUUCUAAUAGAUUUAUGACUAUAUAAUACUUAACAUAAUAUAAUAUAUAUGUGCAAUACAAAAACGUUGUUAUUUUCGGUAAAAACUUAGUGUCCAGUACUUUUAAUUAGUGGUUCAUGCAAGUGGAGAUAUAUUCUAGUUUUUCGCAAAACUUUGGCGAGAUUUUAUAAAUAUUGAUGAAAAAUAAGACAGCGUUUCAUUUAACUGAUGUUAUGCGACUAAAACGUAACCUUUCGUCUUUUUUGCGUCUGUGUGAAAUUGAGGUGUUUCCAUCAGGUGUGUUUUGCCGCAGUUUGAAGGGUAAUCUAAAAACACCUUUAAAUAUGUUUCAUGUCAUUUCAUGCUGUUUCGUACAUAAACCUCAUCCUCGAGGAUUGUGUCUCUCCUGAUUAAACUACAGAUCAGAAUCCACACAAACACGUGAUAAAAAAAUACUGAUGAACGCUGGGAAAAAAUAGCAUUUACUGGGAAAACAAUUUUUUUUAUUUUAUAUACAUAAAUGUACAUUUUCAGCUCAGAAAACAUUUUUAUAUGUUUUGCUGUCUGGAUUGCAGCAUAACUUUGAGACUAUCUUAAACAAGAAGUAUGUAAGUCUUAAUCUUUUUCUUUAAUGUGAUUUAUAUACCCCUCUCUUGUUCCCUGAAGUAGUUUUUUUCCCUCUCUUCUUGUAAUUUUUUUAUUUAUUUGUUCUACAUUGUAACAGUUUUUUUCUUUGUCUGUAUAAUGUUCUUCAUAAAAAAAAAAAAAACCAUGAACACACCAGCUGUGGGUGUGGCCAUCACCUGAUCACCUGACCACACAGCUUCACUCUGAUUGGUUCAGGUUUCCUGUAUAAUGCACGCAGAAGGUGAAAGCACACACUCUCAGACUCACACUGACUGGACACACAGCUCAAGCUGCUGUCUUAAAGAAACUGAUCUCUCAGAUGUUCAGCAUGACUUUCUCAUAUUAAUAAUCAUGAGAUCUGCCCUGGAUAUCACUGCAAGUCUCUCAUCACAGUUUGACCAGAGAAGAGAUGAAAUGAUUAAACUGAUGAAGACUGAAGAGAGAGAGAGAUGAAAACACAAACCAGUGAACACCUCAAUCUUGUGAGAUGCUGGAGCUUGAAUGAUAUUAGACUGAACUGUGAGUAAACACACAUCAGUUAAUCACAAGAGUAUUUACUGUCUCUCUUUAUUUGGAGAAACUCCAGACAUUCUGUUAUGUGUGAGUAACUUGUGCAUCUGACUCUAUAACAGUCUAUUAAUACUCCAGUGAGAGUCAGUUACAAAGUUACUUUUAGUUAAUAGAAUGUCAAAAUCAAUUGUAACUAGGUGAUUAAUGUUGUGAUUAACCCUUUCAUGCCUUGUGUCCUGAUGUCAGACAUAACUUUCUUUUAACAUGAUGAUAUUCUAAAUAAUAAACCCAUAAAUUAUUGAAGGUAACAGAUGUGUUUUUAUUCUCAGUCUCUGCUGAUCCACACACAGCUGUGAAGAGAAACACACGUCAGGAAAGAGACUGAUUCAUCAUAAACCGAUGGAAACAAAGUUACACUUCAGACCAAACUGAGGUUUCUGUCCGUUUUAAACAUUCUUAAAUCAAGAUACAUUUACUGAAUAAUGUAUCAAUAUUGAGUGAGUUUAUUAUUUUAAGAAAAUAACAAAUAUCUGGGGUCAGAAAAAUAAACUGGUUUCCCUUUGUGAAGUAGAUUAUUUUUUUCUGAUUGUCAGAUAUUUCUUUAAAUCAUGAACUCACUUAAUAUAGACACAUUGUUCAGAAGUAAACAUUUAAAAUGUCAUUUUGCUCCUCAUUGUGAUUUAAAGAUGUUUAGAUGUUUAUACUUUAUAAAAAAUACUGAGAAAGAAAGUAAUGUUUGUAGUAUGGAAGUGCAUUAUAUUUCAGAUGAUUAAUAUAAUUUGAGCAGAUUUUCCUUGCAUUGUAAUCCGUAUGAUCACAACAUAUCACUGCCUUAAUUGUUCGUUUUCUUCUUGAUUUGAAUACGUGUCAUUUCUUCACUACGUGAUUUGCAUUAUCAAUGGACAUUACUUUAACAGACAUCUCUCAUAACUGUAAUGUAGAAACAUGCAUCUCGUCUCAAUCUACACUUUGAAAUGACGAAGCGCUAAUAAUUCUGGCAGCUAUAAUGGUUUCAGAUGAUGCAUGGUUUCAGUCAGCAAUGAUGAAUGUGACUGUAAUAAUGGAUUUGAUGAAGACGGCACACUGCAGUCUGUUCUGGACUCUGCAGAUCCUGAAACCAUCUGUAUUUGUGAUGCAUUUCUGUUCUUGUGAUGUUUACUGUGUCUUCUGCGUUUGACCUCAUAUUGCUGUUUGCACAUUUUUGUAUUAUAUUUUUGUUCUAAAUCUAAGCUAUUUAAAGUAUUACUUUGUCAUAUAGCACAGAUGAACUUCCAUCUGUUAUGUCUUUUACGUUUUAAUAAGAUGUAAGCACAAUACAAUGCAGAAUUUAUCUUUCAUGUUACUGAUGUUUUAUGUAAUAUACACUUGUAUUGUUUUUGUGAAUCAUGUAUUUUAAACUUGUACUGUAAUAGCUCAGUGUUGAUUCAGCAUUAAAAGUGCAUCCUGGAGAUGCAGACACACUUUAUUCAAAUAAAAUCCAUGAAACAAUAACUGGAUGUGUCUUUUUUUGUUGUUGAUUUUUGAAGGGAUUCUGUUCUGAUUUAAAGUGAAACUGAGUUUCAGUUCAAGGGUCAACACACUAAGGGUAACCAGACCUGCACAUAUGAUCAGAUAAAUCAUAAUCUUCAUACCAGUCCACCUAGAACUGAACUUUUAAAGAUGGCUCAUGUGUAAGGACUGAUCUAGAAUCAGUGUUCAUCUAUGCAUGUAACUUUAUAAGUUUCAAAACCCACUUUAUCUCCUAAAACUGCCUUUGAAACUGAUUAGCAACAGACUACACUAUUUUAUUAGAAACUCUUUAAUAAUGUUUUGACUUUUUUUAAAACAAAAACGAAACACAGGCCUAGAGAAACUUUCCCCAUAUGCAUGUAUGUGUUAAUAUGUUAAUUUAGUUGUUAAUUGAUUCAAAAGCUCAAAACUUAAACACAACAAGACUAAUGGAAAUACAGAGCCGAAGUAAAAGAAACACACACCGUGUUAAUUAUGUCAUCUGAUAUAAUACAAAACAAUUUUAACAUAUUGCAUGAUCGAUGAAAAGGAAGACAGAAGAGAGGAUGUUUUAAGAUUAUGACAGGUUAAACAACAAUAUGCAAAUGAGCAGGUAGGAGUGAAAGGGAUGGAAAAACACUUUGGAAAAACCAACAAAUCAGAUCAUUUACUGUCAAAGUAAAGCGUCAUGGACAGUUUCAGAGACAUUCACUACAUCUGAUGUCCUCUAGAAGACGAGAAUAAAAUACUGGGAUAUUCAGACAUUAUGAAAACGCAGACUUGAGCUCUGACUGUACACACUUCUGAAUAUAACCAGAAGCAGAUCUAGAGACACACCUCAGCUCUAGAAAAACACUUCAAAUCUAGAAAAAGACUUGAGAUCUAGAGACACACUUCAGAUGUAGACACACACACUACAAAUCUAGAAAAACACUUUAAAUCUAGAGACACACUUUAGAUCUGGACAUACACUUCGAAUCUGGAAAACACUUAAGAUCUAGAAAAACACUUUAGAUGUAGACACACACUUCAAAUCUAGACACACUUCAGUUCUAGACACAAACUUUAGAUCUGGACAAGAUCUACUAAGACAUACACUUCAAAUCUAGAAAACACUUCAGAUCUAGAAAAAUACUUCAGAUCUAGAGACACACACUUCAGAUGUACACACACUUCAGAUGUACACACACUUCAGCACAUCUCAGACAGUGAAGUGUCGCUCUCUGCUGGAGAUCUUCAGUAUUACAGCAGCUCAUCAGAUCUCAUCUUCUGAAGCUUUGGAACAGUCCUGGUUUUGUUUCACUGCAGCUUCAGGAUAUAGCGAGCUCCAGGAGUAACUUUACAUCUCAAUCAUCUUCUAUAUCUUAAUGAAAUUAAAACAUUAAUAAAAAAAAGUCCUUGUAUUGAGAAUGAACACAGAGAUGAUUCUUCAGACAGUAUUCCUCUCUGAACAGACCUGUGUGUGUUUCAAGUCCCAGAGAAAGUAAUUUCACACACUGUUAACUCAAGCAUAAACAUUAGUUUAGUCUGUAAUCUGGUUAGAGCGUUUCCUCUGAUCUGAGGUCAGUUAUCGCAGUGAAGGCGGUCAGCAGACAGUCAGAUGGAGGGCUGAACCCGUGACGGUCAUGAGAACUUCUCAAGAGCUUCGAGAGCCACACACACACACACACACACACACACACACACACUCACACUCACAGAGCAGAAUCACAGCAGACGGAUCAGAUCAGGUAAGAGCUCACUCUUCCACUCAUUUAAUUUACGCUUUCUUAUAGAGUCUGAAUGAUUAUACUGGUUCAUAUUAAUGCAGCAUCAUAUUAAAUAUGUAUCAAAUAGACUUGUGUUAUAAAAUACAAUAAAUGCAGCUGGAGCAAUAACUGGUUUCAGCAUAUCCAGGUUAUAAUUUACUUGAAAAACUGAGGCAUUCAUUUAUAAGAAUUUUUUUUGUCAUGGUGUUAUUUUUUUUUUUUUACACAAAAUAUUUAUAAAACAUGACAAAAUCAUUUUAAAUCAGGAUGGUAUUGCUUUGUUUAAUUUAUGUAGAUGUAUUGUUUUUUUAAGAAACUGUAAAACGUACUAGAUUUGAAAAAUGGGCAUCAACUAAAACAAAAAAUAAUCACCAAGCAGAAUAUAAAAACUAAGAUUAUUUGUGUGCAUUUUAUGAGAAGAUCUUUUUUUUUUUUCAAUUUCAAAAUUUCACAUUUCAUUUAAUGUGUUAUGUGCCAUUUUUCUGUAAUUGCCUAAUUUGUUAAAUUUACUAGUAAUUUUGAGGUGAAAAUGGUUUCAAAUAUUAUUUUUUUUAGUGCAUGAUACUCACUUUAUUAUAAAUACAAAGGUUGAACACAUAAUUAUGUAAAUGUCUAAUUUUACCCCAAAACCUUAAAAAAAAAGUUAACUAUACCUUACAAGGAAAUAAAGUGAAUUUUUGUUACAAUUAAUUUUUUUUUAAAUUGCAACAUUAUUGCCAUGUUAAUUACAUUUUACCUGCAUGUUCUCUUUACCUUAAUGUUUUCUGGACAUUUUAUAUCCAAGUUUACUUUAAAAAUCAUUUCUAGAGUGUACUCCAGCUGAAAUAUUCUGUGGCAGAUCACGGUAGAUUAUGAAGUUUGAGAUGUGCUGUUAUUGUUAUUUCCAGGAGUUUGUUCAUCAUGUCUUACGGCGGAUCAGGUUCAGGAUCUCGAGGUGAAUUCAGCGUUCAUUUCUCCAGCAGAAGUGGAGCAGGACUCAUCAGAGCUGAAGAGUGUGUGAAGAUUCACCUAAACAGUGUCUAACACCGGCUGCACACUACAGACUCUUCAUCUAACGCGCGUGUGUGUGUGUGUGUGUGUGUGUGUGUGCGCAGGGCUGCAGGGAUCGCUCUGCUGGCCGUGGUCCUCACCGCGCUGCUCAUCCUGGCUGCUGGUAUUACCGCCGGAGGGGGGGGUACAAGAUGAUCCGGGUGAGUCAUGUGACCGCAGGGUUACCCCCAUCUCAAACCGAGAGCAUCGGAGCAGAGAAGAGUGCCCUGCUGUAGGAGAUCAUGAUGCUUGCAACACCAAGGCCCUGGGUUUGAUUCCCAGGGAGUGCAUGAUGAUAUUCUCCUGAAAUGCA